UUUCUGGCUCUACGGGUGUUG
rnacentral:piRNA from 1 species